GACGAACGCUGGCGGCGUGCCUAAUACAUGCAAGUGGGACGCAAGGGAACACACUGUGCUUGCACACCGUGUUUUCUUGAGUCGCGAACGGGUGAGUAACGCGUAGGUAACCUGCCUAUUAGCGGGGGAUAACUAUUGGAAACGAUAGCUAAUACCGCAUAAUAUUAAUUAUUGCAUGAUAAUUGAUUGAAAGAUGCAAGCGCAUCACUAGUAGAUGGACCUGCGUUGUAUUAGCUAGUUGGUAAGGUAAGAGCUUACCAAGGCGACGAUACAUAGCCGACCUGAGAGGGUGAUCGGCCACACUGGGACUGAGACACGGCCCAGACUCCUACGGGAGGCAGCAGUAGGGAAUCUUCGGCAAUGGACGAAAGUCUGACCGAGCAACGCCGCGUGAGUGAAGAAGGUUUUCGGAUCGUAAAGCUCUGUUGUAAGUCAAGAACGUGUGUGAGAGUGGAAAGUUCACACAGAGACGAGCUACCAGAAGGC
rnacentral:rRNA from 1 species